rnacentral:rRNA from 1 species
AGGAAUAUUGGUCAAUGGCCGAGAGGCUGAACCAGCCAAGUCGCGUGAAGGAAGAAGGAUCUAUGGUUUGUAAACUUCUUUUAUAGGGGAAUAAAGUGGAGGACGUGUCCUUUUUUGUAUGUACCCUAUGAAUAAGCAUCGGCUAACUCCGUGCCAGCAGCCGCGGUAAUACGGAGGAUCCGAGCGUUAUCCGGAUUUAUUGGGUUUAAAGGGUGCGUAGGCGGCCUUUUAAGUCAGCGGUGAAAGUCUGUGGCUCAACCAUAGAAUUGCCGUUGAAACUGGGAGGCUUGAGUAUGUUUGAGGCAGGCGGAAUGCGUGGUGUAGCGGUGAAAUGCUUAGAUAUCACGCAGAACCCCGAUUGCGAAGGCAGCCUGCCAAGCCAUUACUGACGCUGAUGCACGAAAGCGUGGGGAUCAAACAGGAUUAGAUACCCUGGUAGUCCACGCAGUAAACGAUGAUCACUAGCUGUUUGCGAUACACUGUAAGCGGCACAGCGAAAGCGUUAAGUGAUCCACCUGGGGAGUACGCCGGCAACGGUGAAACUCAAAGGAAUUGACGGGGGCCCGCACAAGCGGAGGAACAUGUGGUUUAAUUCGAUGAUACGCGAGGAACCUUACCCGGGUUUGAACGCAUUUUGACAGCUCUGGAAACAGAGCCUCUAGCAAUAGCGAUUUGCGAGGUGCUGCAUGGUUGUCGUCAGCUCGUGCCGUGAGGUGUCGGCUUAAGUGCCAUAACGAGCGCAACCCUUGCCACUAGUUACUAACAGGUAAAGCUGAGGACUCUGGUGGGACUGCCAGCGUAAGCUGCGAGGAAGGCGGGGAUGACGUCAAAUCAGCACGGCCCUUACAUCCGGGGCGACACACGUGUUACAAUGGCGUGGACAAAGGGAGGCCACCUGGCGACAGGGAGCGAAUCCCCAAACCACGUCUCAGUUCGGAUCGGAGUCUGCAACCCGACUCCGUGAAGCUGGAUUCGCUAGUAAUCGCGCAUCAGCCAUGGCGCGGUGAAUACGUUCCCG